rnacentral:misc_RNA from 1 species
GUGGGAUCAAAGGAAAUGGCUCUGUCCAUUGUUUGCAAUGAAAUUAAUGAGUUAGUUGCACAUAUGUGUAUUAGCCUGUGUUGUUUAUAAUUGAAUUAGGAUUUCUAUACCCAACCCAAACUUCUUUCAACUGGCUUAAAGGUGCCAAAUUUAAAAUGCUUCAGAUAUGCAUCAGUGAUACUCUUUCUUCUUCAUUUUCCUUUUUCAUUUCCUAUAACUGUUUGGAAAGCCAAAUCUCCUAAUACCCUCCACUCGUAUACAUUCUACUUCUCCCCUGACCAACAUGGUGAUGGAACAGAAUGGAGCUGGUAAAUCUUCAUUACUUUGGCUGUGGUUUUGCAUAGAUCAAUCAAUAAAAUCCUCCAAGGGAGGUUAUAGAAAUUGAGAAAACUUCAUGUAUGAUUUACUUGUCCCCCUUGUUUAUAUUUCAUGGUAUGCAAAUUGUUCUCUAGUAACAUGCUUCCAUAUGCGGUGUAGACUUAGUAUCAAUUUCUUGUUCUGUAGUAUCAAUUUCUCGUUCUGUUGAGAAUGGGUAUUGUGUUGCCACAAUGCUACUCAGUUUUGCUUUCUGCAUG